CUUCUCGUGGCGUAGGGGUAACGCACCUUAUCUAGAGAACAUGGAGUUGUGAGUUCGAUUCUCACCGAGAAGA
rfam:Aedes aegypti strain Liverpool supercont1.970 genomic scaffold, whole genome shotgun sequence.